UCUGGACAGUACUGACGCUGAGAUGCGAAAGCGUGGGGAGCAAACAGGAUUAGAUACCUGGUAGUCCACGCUGUAAACGAUGUCGAUUUGGAGUUUGUUGCCUAGAGUGAUGGGCUCCGAAGCUAACGCGAUAAAUCGACCGCUGGGGAGUACGGCCGCAAGGUUAAAACUCAAAUAAAUUGACGGGGGCCCGCACAAGCGGUGGAGCAUGUGGUUUAAUUCGAUGCAACGCGAAGAACCUUACCUGGUCUUGACAUCCAUAGAAUUCUGCAGAGAUGUGGGAGUGCCUUCGGGAACUAUGAGACAGGUGCUGCAUGGCUGUCGUCAGCUCGUGUUGUGAAAUGUUGGGUUAAGUCCCGCAACGAGCGCAACCCUUAUUCUUUGUUGCCAGCGAUUUGGUCGGGAACUCAAAGGAGACUGCCGUUGAUAAAGCGGAGGAAGGUGGGGACGACGUCAAGUCAUCAUGGCCCUUACGACCAGGGCUACACACGUGCUACAAUGGCGUAUACAAAGGGAAGCGAAGGUGCGAGCUGGAGCGGAUCUCAUAAAGUACGUCUAAGUUCGGAUUGGAGUCUGCAACUCGACUCCAUGAAGUCGGAAUCGCUAGUAAUCGUAGAUCAGAAUGCUACGGUGAAUACGUUCCCGGGCCUUGUACACACCGCCCGUCACACCAUGGGAGUGGGUUGCACCAGAAGUAGAUAGCUUAACCGCGAGGGGGGCGUUUACCACGGUGUGAUUCAUGACUGGGGUGAAGUCGUAACAAGGUAACCA
rnacentral:rRNA from 1 species